rnacentral:rRNA from 1 species
CUAACAAGGAUUCCCCUAGUAACGGCGAGUGAAGCGGGAUGAGCUCAAGCUUAAAAUCUCCGUGCACGUUGUGCAUGGCGAAUUGUAGUCUAUAGAUGCGUGAUCAGUGCGACCGCUCGGGGUAAGUUCCUUGGAAGAGGACAGCAUCGAGGGUGAUACUCCCGUUUGUACCAGAGUGUGUUGUGCGUACGAUCCGUAUUCUUUGAGUCGCGUUGUUUGGGAAUGCAGCGCAAAGUAGGUGGUAAAUUCCAUCUAAAGCUAAAUAUUGGUGCGAGACCGAUAGCGAACAAGUACCGUGAGGGAAAGAUGAAAAGAACUUUGAAAAGAGAGUUAAAGAGUACCUGAAACUGCUGAAAGGGAACCGAAUCGUCUCCAGUGUCUAUAAUCUGCGGCAUAUUUCAUUGGCGAGCGUGCGUGUGCGGCGCUUUGGCAGCGGCUUAAUUGCUGCGCCGGGUGUUGCUUGUGCGUGUGCUUGCUGGUGCCCUGUGCUGUGGUGRGACGUCAAGGUCAGUUCGUAUGCUGCGGGAAAUGACUGCCGAGGAGGUAGGGCUUACACUCUGUGUUUGUCUAUUAUAUCUUGGCGGACUAGUAGUCGCGGUUGGGACUGAGGUGUUCUACAAUGUGCUUUUGAGUGUGUGGGACUCUCGGUGUGCGUGCUGUGUGUAUAGCUUGCUAUGUGCGCGGUUUAGCGUGUCGAUUGAGGCCUGCAGUAACUUGUUGCCGUUCGGGACUUUGACGAAAUGGAGCGAUCCGACCCGUCUUGAAACACGGACCAAGGAGUCUAACAUGUGUGCAAGUGUUAGGGUGUGGAAACCCCAGCGCGUAAUGAAAGUAAAGGACAGCGUUAGUUGUCUGAGGUAGGAAACGCUGGGCUCUCGGGCUCGGGGUGGCACUAUCGACCGAUCAUGACCCCUCGUGGCGAAAGAUUUGAGUUUGAGCACAUAUGUUGGUACCCGAAAGAUGGUGAACUAUGCCUGAGUAGGGUGAAGCCAGGGGAAACUCUGGUGGAAGCUCGUAGCGAUUCUGACGUGCAAAUCGAUCGUCAAACUUGGGUAUAGGGGCGAAAGACUAAUCGAACCAUCUAGUAGCUGGUUCCCUCCGAAAUUUCCCUCAGGAUAGCAGCAACUUAUUUACGAUAGUUUUAUGAGGUAAAGCGAAUGAUUAGAGGAUUCGGGGAAGUAACUUUCUCGACCUAUUCUCAAACUUUAAAUCUGUAAGACCUGCAGGUUUCUUAAUUGAACUUGUGGAUGUGAAUAUCAA